GCUAUAAAUCUAGCCCAACUGAACACUAAUUAAACUAAACUAACUCUUUUCCUUUAAUAAACCAUUCUAAAAUUCUAGUAAAGGCGAUUGAAAAAUUAACUGGAGCCACAACAAUAGUACCGCAAGGGAACAAUGAAAUAUCAAUUUGUUUUAAGCAAAAAAAAGUAAAGAUUACUCCUUGUACCUUUUGCAUCAUGGUUUAACUAGUCUAAUCAAGCAAAACGAAUUUAAGUUUGACCCCCCGAAACUAAGUGAGCUACUUCGGGGCAGCUAAAAGAGCAAACCCGUCUCUGUAGCAAAAGAGUGGGAAGACCCCCAAGUAGCGGUGACAGACCUAACGAACUUAGUGAUAGCUGGUUACUCAAGAAACGGAUCUAAGUCCAACCUGAAACUCACACCCCCAGUUUAUCAAUACAAUUUCAGCCUUUCAGAGUAAUUCAAAUAAGGUACAGCCUAUUUGAAACAGGAUACAACCUAAAUCAACGGAUAAGAACAGCUAUGUAGGCAACUAAGUGGGCCUAAGAGCAGCCACCUUACAAAUUGCGUCAAAGCUUAAUUGUUACUACGCCUAAUCAUCACACUAUUGUCUUAAUCCCACCUCAAUAUUGAGUAAUUCUAUACAAUUAUAGAAAAUUUUAUGUUAAAACUAGUAACAAGAAGAAGACCUUCUCUUAAAUGCAAGUAAAAAUCAGAAAGGACAAACCACUGAUAUUUAACAUCCCUGAAUUCAAAGUAGUAACUAAUCAAGUAAAAUCUACUCUCACUAAUGUUAACCUAACACUAGAACAUUUUAAGAAAGAUUAAAAAAAUAAGAAGGAACUCGGCAAAUUUUAACCUCGCCUGUUUACCAAAAACAUCGCCUCUUGACAACCUAUAAGAGGUCCAGCCUGCCCAGUGACCCUGUUCAACGGCCGCGGUAUCCUAACCGUGCGAAGGUAGCGUAAUCACUUGUUCUUUAAAUAAGGACUAGUAUGAAUGGCAUCACGAAGGUUAUACUGUCUCCUUUUUUUGAUCAGUGAAACUAAUCUUCCCGUGAAGAAGCGGGAAUAUUUUUAUAAGACGAGAAGACCCUAUGGAGCUUUAAACAAUACAGCACUUAUCAUAUAAAUAAAAAUUUCCCGAAUAUCAAUACACCUGAUAUAAUGACUGUAAGUUUUUGGUUGGGGUGACCACGGAGUAUAGUACAACCCCCGUGUUGAAAGAAUUUUAUUCUAAACCAAGAAUUACCCAUCUAAGCAUCAAUACCUUGACAUUCAUUGACCCAAUUAAAUUGAACAACGAACCAAGUUACCCUAGGGAUAACAGCGCAAUCCACUUUAAGAGCCCUUAUCGACAAGUGGGUUUACGACCUCGAUGUUGGAUCAGGGUUUCCAAGUGGUGCAGCCGCUACUA
rnacentral:rRNA from 1 species